CAACGUUUCAGUCCUCCUCAAGGACUUUCAUCAGGUUUAUGAUCCUGAUGAAAGUCCUUGAGGAGGACUAAAAGUU